rnacentral:rRNA from 1 species
CCUACGGGAGGCAGCAGUGAGGAAUAUUGGUCAAUGGGCGCAAGCCUGAACCAGCGACGCCGCGUGCGGGAUGAAGGGGCUUUGCCUCGUAAACCGCUGUCGGGUGGGACGAAAGGUAGCUUUGAGCUACUGGGACGGUACCAUCAAAGGAAGGAUCGGCUAACUACGUGCCAGCAGCCGCGGUAAUACGUAGGAUCCGAGCGUUGUCCGGAGUUACUGGGUGUAAAGGGUGCGUAGGCUGUUCUGUGCGUCAGAGGUGAAAUCCACGAGCUUAACUCGUGGGGUGCCUUUGAUACGGCAGGGCUUGAGUACGAGAGAGGUGCGUGGAAUUCCUGGUGUAGCAGUGAAAUGCGUAGAUAUCAGGAGGAACACCGGUGGCGAAGGCGGCGCACUGGCUCGUAACUGACGCUGAGGCACGAAAGCGUGGGGAUCAAACAGGAUUAGAUACCCUGGUAGUCCACGCCUUAAACGAUGCAUGCUUGGCGUUGGUCUCGCAAGAGAUCAGUGCCGUAGUUAACAGGAUAAGCAUGCCCACCGUGGGAGGUACGAGUCGCGAGGUUAGUAACGUACGAAGUAGAAGUUAGUACGUAGAGAGAGNGACGGACGGACGACGACGGAGGGAGGAG